GAUGUCAAUCCAAACGUCAUCUUGUGUUUCCCUAAUUUUACACCCUCUCUCCCAAAUCUGCCCCCAUUCAGUGCAAUCUUAAUGAUUCCUUCAACCAAAACCCUUGUAAAUCGAAGAAGCAAAUGAAACGGUGGGCAAUAAGAACUGAAUGUUAUUGAAUCGUUUGCCAUCUCCAUUUAUAGUUAUAUUGAAUGUUGAAUUUCAUGAGUUCUUCAGUUGCGAAACCGUUGUAUAAAUCAAAUACCUCAAGGCUGAAAAUUGGCCAUCUCUUCUACCCGACGUAUUGCUCCACAAAUUUCUGGGGUUUUCCAUUUCUAAGUUUAUUGCGAUCUUCUUGUGCAAGUAAACACAGAGCAAAAUACCAUUUAGGGUUUUUCUAAAUCGAUUAAUUCAUUGAUAACUGCAUAUUCUACAAUCAUUUUGAAGCGAAGCAGAUUCACCACUUCAAUCAUGUGGACUCUCAAUUUUCCAAGCUUAUGGUUGACUCUGGAUUGAAGCUUACACAAUUUCAUAGAUCAAUCUAAAUCGCUUUCUACCACUUUAGAUACCAGGUUUUUGAGCCAUGUGGUUUUAUCAAAUGGAUUUGUUUUUAAUUAUAUGUUGGCUGGUGAGCUAAUGUACCAUAAUAGUAGAUUAUGUUUCUGCAUAUUCAAAAAAUUAAACUAGAAUUUGUGUUUUUAGGGUUAAGGUUUUUCAAUGGUUGCAGAUGACGAGUUACUGUUAAUUUCAUGUUUUCGUUGAGGAAAAUAUAGCUCGAAUCAGGCUUUACGAGCUUAGGAACAAAUCGAAGUUGAAUUGAAUGAUCUCCAACUGGUCGUAAUAUCUACAAUCUAGGGGUGCUAAGAUAUUAGAAGGUUUAGAUGCUGUGAGGAAAAGACCUGGAAUGUACAUUGGAACUUUGGAAGUACGGGGUUUUGUGGUCUACAUCAUCUGGUUUAUGAAAUACUGGAUAACGCUGUUGAUGAAGCCCAAGCUGGUUUUGUUUCAAAAGUCGACAUUGUCUUACUCGCAGACGGGUCAGUGUGCAUCACUGACAAUGGACGUGGGAUCCCGAUCAACAUUAAGUCCCGACAACAUGCAAAAGAGCGCUGGUGGGAGGUGUACGGUGGUCGAUUGGGUUGGUGUGAUGGUGAUGAUGGGUGGCGGUGGUGGGUGGGUGCGAUGAAGAUGAUUGGUGGCGGUGCUGGGAUGCUUACGGUGGUUGGUUGUGGAUGGUGAAUGUGGGUUUGCGGUGGUGGAGGUGUUGCAGGUGGUGUUGGCCGAAGUGGUGGGUUCUGGAUGGUGAACGUGGGUUGUGGAUGGUGAAGGUGUGUUAGGCGGUGGUGGGAGGGGUGUUGCAGGUGGAUUGAUGUUUAAGAUAGGAAACAAUGUCUAAUGCACAUGCCAUGCGUUUCGCCAUUAUAAGUCUACACUAAAGUUGAUUCCACAAGAUUAAGAGUGCAAAGUGUUCUAAGUUAAUUAGUUAAUCGGAAGCUCCCAGUUACAAGAAGAGAGAUAAGAUUAAGAUAUGGGGGAUCUCUACGCAUUGGACUUUGAUGGAGUUCUUUGCGAUAGUGUCGAAGAAACCGCCAUCUCCUGUGUUAAGGGCAAUUAGUGCACGUGUCACCACUAAACCAUCACUGCCCUUACCAGAGGGAAAGAAGCCAAAGAUCCAAACAAUCGCUAUUGCAACCAACAAUGAAGACUGCAGUAUUAUUGAUCUUGAAGAGGAUUUUAAUGCACCAAUGUUUGUGCAACACACAGAAUCCAUGCUGGAGGAUAUAAAAAAGCCUUUCAGCCAAACUUGAGUGUCAACUAUAUUGUCGUAGUCUGGUCUGUGCUCCAAUUCAUACCAGAACUAAAUAGAGAAUCGUUACUAUUUUUAUUUACAUUGUUGUCUUUUGUUUUCAUUAAACAUAAGUGUCGGAACUGUUCCAGUACUUAACCAACGGAACAGUAUUAGAUAAGGUUUGGAUCAAGUUUCCGUCCCGUAUUAUUGACUGCGCCGCAACGCGCGGAUGCCCAGAUGACUUACGGGUGUUCCUCUAACAAGUGUGGAUACAUAGUUAGGCCCGACUCCAUUGUGCAUUCAUCUAUCCACCAGACGGAUUUUUUUCCCCUGCAAACUCUUCAAUUUUCUUGCUUUCAUCCUUUAAAGCAUCAAGCGCGGGUAGUUCAACAAAUGGCUUAUCAAUACUGUUAGGCGCGUCAUCCAACCCAAUAAGUUGUUCGUAAAUGAACGCACCCCAUGAAAUAAUCAAGUCCCUGAUUGACGCACCAUGUGGAAAGUUUUUACUCCCACUCAUUGAACGAACCAGAUUUCUCCCGACAAGUUGUUAUCAUUUAGAGACC